GCCGCCUUAGCUCAGUCGGUAGAGCAAUGCAUUCGUAACGCAUAGGUCCCCAGUUCGAUCCUGGGAGGCGGCU
rnacentral:tRNA from 1 species